rnacentral:rRNA from 1 species
CAAUACCGCUGACGACCGGCGCACGGGUGAGUAACACGUAUCCAACCUUCCCAUAACUCGGGGAUAGCCUUUCGAAAGAAAGAUUAAUACCCGAUAGUACUUAAGAAAGGCAUCUUUUUUAAGUUAAAGAUUUAUUGGUUAUGGAUGGGGAUGCGUUCCAUUAGAUAGUUGGUGAGGUAACGGCUCACCAAGUCUUCGAUGGAUAGGGGUUCUGAGAGGAAGGUCCCCCACAUUGGUACUGAGACACGGACCAAACUCCUACGGGAGGCAGCAGUGAGGGAUAUUGGUCAAUGGGCGAGAGCCUG